rnacentral:antisense_RNA from 1 species
ACCAAUUAAGAUAAUACACCCCUGAAUGUGCUAAAAUCAAAUACGGCAGCUGGACCAGAUUAACUCAGGACACCACCAAUAGAUUAGAAUUGCAAUGACCCCACACGCUCUUACCUGCUCCUCAUUCCACAGCCAAAGAAGAGAUUUCUGACAAACAAGCAAAAGCACAACACUGUCCACACAACUGUAAAUAUGCAAGGAAGAGUUUCUUCUUGCCUGAAAACUGCCUUUGGACUUGGACUAGAAUUUCACCACUGGGGCUCUUGAAUCUGGAGUCUGUAGAGGGCAGAUCGUGGGAUUUUUCAGCCUCCAAAAUCAUGUGAGCCAAUUCCUCAUAAUAAAUCUCCUUCUAUAUCU